GACAGAGGGUGCAAGCGUUGUUCGGAAUUACUGGGCGUAAAGGGCGCGUAGGCUGUUUUGUAAGUCGGAUGUGAAAUCCCUCGUUUCAAGCGAGGAACGGCAUUCGAAACUACAAGACUAGAGUCCUGGAGAGGGAACUGGAAUUCCUGGUGUAGAGGUGAAAUUCGUAGAGAUCAGGAGGAACACCCGAGGCGAAGGCGGGUUCCUGGACAGUGACUGACGCUGAGGCGCGAAAGCGUGGGUAG
rnacentral:rRNA from 1 species